ACGCGAUGAAAUCUUCUCUUUGAGCAAACCAACCCGUGGUUGGAUGGUUAGGAGGACUGUGGUAUCCCCUGCCCACCAGAGUUCAAGUCCCAGACUUGACGUUGGUGCUUGCAUUUUCGUGGAUUUAUUCCAGGUCUUCCGGCGAUGUGCUUUCAGUGGGAAGAGACGUUCCCGUCGACAACGAAAGCCUCAGUGGCAACUUCGUCAAUCACAAGAUGAUGUGUCGGCUUAGUCUCUUGAAUGUGCUCAUAGGGGUAGGGUGUGCAUGCGUGCGUUCAUAGGGGUGAGUGUACGCUCGUGUAUCUGAGCGACUUUGAUUGUACUCUGCUAAAAAAAGAAAUAUUCUCUCUGAUUUUUUCUCUGGAGAUGUGAAUUUAUAGCAUUGGAAUUAGGAUCAGAGGAGCCACGUGGGC
rnacentral:lncRNA from 1 species